rnacentral:rRNA from 1 species
UACAGAGGUCUCAAGCGUUGUUCGGAUUCAUUGGGCGUAAAGGGCGCGUAGGCGGCCUUGCAAGUCGGGUGUGAAAUCCCUCGGCUCAACCGAGGAACCGCACUCGAUACUGCCGGGCUAGAGUCCGGGAGGGGAUGGUGGAAUUCCCAGUGUAGCGGUGAAAUGCGUAGAUAUUGGGAAGAACACCGGUGGCGAAGGCGGCCAUCUGGACCGGUACUGACGCUGAGGCGCGAAAGCUAGGGGAGCGAAUGGG